rnacentral:rRNA from 1 species
UACGUAGGGUGCGAGCGUUGUCCGGAAUUACUGGGCGUAAAGCGUGCGCAGGCGGUUUUGUAAGUCUGAUGUGAAAUCCCCGGGCUCAACCUGGGAAUUGCAUUGGAGACUGCAAGGCUAGAAUCUGGCAGAGGGGGGUAGAAUUCCACGUGUAGCAGUGAAAUGCGUAGAGAUGUGGAGGAACACCGAUGGCGAAGGCAGCCCCCUGGGUCAAGAUUGACGCUCAUGCACGAAAGCGUGGGGAGCAAACAGG